CACCUCUAGUGACGUUCACUUUCAGGUGUACCUGAUGGAGGGGCUGGUGCAGUGGAACGAGAACCACGGAAGGGCGGCAGUCGAGGGGGGACCGCGAGCGAUGCUGCGGUGCUACAGCGCCCGGCUGCAGCACAGCUUCAACCAGCUGGCUCGUGAGGUCAACGGGGUCCAGCUGGUCGACGACUUCACCCAGCCGAGGGAGUACACAGGUACAUAGAGAUUAGCGACAGAGAGUGUUUGCUGCAGCCGUCAUGUGGCGUCUGCUGAUGUGUGUGUGUGUCUCUCUCUCUGCAGGGGAACUCUUGGGGGCACUGCAGGUACUCCCAGUCGGGCAGUGUGCUGCAGCCCGAUCCCAAUACUCCUGGUGGGACCGAUGAGCAGGAAGAGGACGACGGCGGCGGCGGUGAGGGCUUCGAGGAGGAGGAGGAGGAGCCAGAGGAGAUCCGUCUCCUCGAGCAUCACAGCGCUCUCCUCCAGGAGCCCCGCGGCGUGCGUGAGGUUGAUGCCUCGAUGGGAUCGUCCCGCCCGCCUCCUGACGAUGACAGGAUGGAGGUGCAGCAGGCUGAUCAGGAGGAGGAGGAAUGCGUUGUGCUUUCUUUCCAGGGCCGCGUGGUGGACCCCACCUCACUCUAGCCGCCGCUCCAGCCGCUGCCAUGGCUGGAGCCAUGCCCCACUCCACUGCCUGGAGGCACAGGGUCCAGGCAGAGAAGGAGCGUCGUGGGGUCUACCUCAAGUCCCUUAAAAAGGUCUCCUAAUGUACCUGUAGCUGCUGUGGCCAGCCCAGGACCAGGGAGAAAGGCCACAGCCGCUACAAGCGGGAGACCCCCCGCCGCCACCCUGUGUUGUUUUUUUUGGGGUGGCUGGAGCCACACACACUUCACACAGUAUGAUGGAUACACACACACACACACACACACACACACACACACACACACACACACACACACACACACACACACACACACACACAUAGAACUGAAGCACAUAGAGCGCGUGGGCCCACUACCCCGACACCACCAGUUUUUUUUCACACUUCCAACUUGGCCACUUUUGUCUAUCAGGGUGACUCAUCAAGCUAAGACAAAAUGUCAGGCCAGCUGGCCUCCGGAAUGUCUCCCAGAGCGGAACAGCACCCUCGG
rnacentral:lncRNA from 1 species